UGUCUGACAAUUACUGAGACACUCUUGGGCUCCCUGGGCAAUAAAUUAUCUCAGGCUUUGGGCUGUUCCUGCAAGGAAUGAUUCCAAACUCAGCUUUCUUUGUGAUUGGUAGGGGUUAUUCCUCCCGGCAGGGGGAGCUACACCGCCCUGCAAGGUCUUCCAGCACCAGGCCACUGGCUUUCCCAGAGAACAGACGGUGCGUGAUAUUGGGGAAUUCAUCUCAAGCCUUGGUUGCAAUACAAGCGGGAGACAAGAAAAGACCCACCUUGCUCAAGCGUGUCAUAAGAUAAAAAAUCUAAAAUCACCAGUGGCCUUCUGGAUGCAAGCAUACAGAGAAAAUCAAAUACAGGGGCGCCUGGGUGGCUCAGUGGG